UACGAAGGGGGCUAGCGUUGCUCGGAAUCACUGGGCGUAAAGGGUGCGUAGGCGGGUCUUUAAGUCAGAGGUGAAAUCCUGGAGCUCAACUCCAGAACUGCCUUUGAUACUGAGGAUCUUGAGUAUGGGAGAGGUGAGUGGAACUGCGAGUGUAGAGGUGAAAUUCGUAGAUAUUCGCAAGAACACCAGUGGCGAAGGCGGCUCACUGGCCCAUUACUGACGCUGAGGCACGAAAGCGUGGGGAGCAAACAGGG
rnacentral:rRNA from 1 species